UAUUCUCCUUUGUAAAAGAAAUUGGUGACAUAUGACUACUAGCACUACUGUGUAUAACUGACAAGGAAACAAUAUAUAAAACUAGGGUUUACAACUUAAGGUUUUCCGCAACAGUUUACGGCUAAGGGUUUGGGGUUUACGGCUUAGGUUUCAAGGUUUAGGGUUUACGGCUUAAGGUUUACAUCAUUUGCUAACAAAAGUGGCAUGAUCUGAACCGGUCACAAAUAAGUGAGAGAGAGAGAGUAUAUGUGUUUAGGGCUUAGGGUUUAGGGUUUAGGGUUUAGGGAUUAGGGUUCAGGGGUUAGGGUUUAGGGUUUAGGGGUCAGGGGUUAGGGUUCAGGGUUUAGGGCUUAGGGCUUAGGGCUUAGGUUUAGGGUUUAGGGUUUAGGGCUUGGGGUUUACCACUAAUAGAUCCAUCUCGACAUACCUGUAGUUUGAAAGCGGUGAGACGGCGGAGAGACGGCGGUCGGUGCGGAGACUCGACGGGGACUUCGGUGAUGACGGCAGAGAGACAUCGAUCUGGAAGAAGGAAGAAAUAGGGAACAAAUAUUAUAUCACAUUUACAUAUUGUGGCACAUGCAUGAAGCACUAAAUAUAGACAAAAAACAAAAACUAAUAGCAUAGUUUGUCUGUAAUUUACAAGACAAAUCUUUUAAGCUUAGUUAGUUUAUAAUUGGACAAUAUUUGCUACAAACAAACGAAAAUGCUACGGU
rnacentral:lncRNA from 1 species